CUAGCGAGCAACGUGUACGCUGGACGAAAUUCAUGAGCGAGCGAGCGACCACCGUACGGCGAGCAAACGAGAAAUAAGGCGAACGGACCAGCGGAGAACGAGAGGCGAGCCCGGCAAGGGGAUUUUUGUGUAGCUACCGAUUUAGCUCUGUGCGUCUUCAACAAUGACUUGAACAGUAUCAUAGAAGUUAUGAAAGUUUUGGACAUCACAAUAGGUCCUCAUUCUUACAAUUUCUGCGUCGAGGAAUUGCGCGUAACGCAUGCCGAGAGCUUGCUAUUAGACGCAGCAAUGGAGACGCACUCGAGCUCAAAAUUCUCCAGAAAAGAAGAACAGAAAGAAAAUCUUGCUACAGAUGGACAGCUCUAUAGUGCUGACAUUGCGGAAUAAUGGUCAAAGUAUGUGGACGCUAGAUGUCAGACCUCGAAGCAUCUCCAAAAAAACAUAUUAGGUUCCGUUAGCGGUAGCGCUGCCACUUUGGAUCGAAAAAUACAAAAAAAAGUUUUUUAAGUACCUUAAGAUAUGUCGUAAAUAG